UACAGAGGAUGCAAGCGUUAUCCGGAAUGAUUGGGCGUAAAGGGUGCGUAGGUGGUGAGGUAAGUCGGAUGUGAAAGCUCGGAGCUCAACUCCGAAAUGGCAUUGGAAACUACCUUGCUCGAGGGUUGGAGGGGGGACUGGAAUACUUGGUGUAGCAGUGAAAUGCGUAGAUAUCAAGUGGAACACCAGUGGCGAAGGCGAGUCCCUGGACAACUCCUGACACUGAGGCACGAAAGCUAGGGGAGCAAACAGG
rnacentral:rRNA from 1 species